UACGUAGGGUGCAAGCGUUGUCCGGAAUUAUUGGGCGUAAAGAGCUCGUAGGCGGCUUGUCGCGUCGGCUGUGAAACCUGGGCUCAACCCGGGCCUGCAGCCGAUACGGGCAAGCUAGAAUUCGGUAGGGGAGAACGGAAGUUCCUGGUGUAGCGGUGAAAUGCGCAGAUAUCAGGAGGAACACCGGUGGCGAAGGCGGUUCUCUGGGAAUAUCCUGACGCUGGAGGAGCGAAAGUGUGGGAGGACGAACAGG
rnacentral:rRNA from 1 species